rnacentral:rRNA from 1 species
GACGAACGCUGGCGGCGUGCUUAACACAUGCAAGUCGAACGGAAAGGCCCUGCUUUUGUGGGGUGCUCGAGUGGCGAACGGGUGAGUAACACGUGAGUAACCUGCCCUUGACUUUGGGAUAACUUCAGGAAACUGGGGCUAAUACCGGAUAGGAGCUCCUGCUGCAUGGUGGGGGUUGGAAAGUUUCGGCGGUUGGGGGUGGACUCGCGGCUUAUCAGCUUGUUGGUGGGGUAGUGGCUUACCAAGGCUUUGACGGGUAGCCGGCCUGAGAGGGUGACCGGCCACCUUGGGACUGAGAUACGGCCCAGCCUCCUACGGGAGGCAGCAGUGGGGAAUAUUGCACAAUGGGCGGAAGCCUGAUGCAGCAACGCCGCGUGCGGGAUGACGGCCUUCGGGUUGUAAACCGCUUUCGCCUGUGACGAAGCGUGAGUGACGGUAAUGGGUAAAGAAGCACCGGCUAACUACGUG